UACGUAGGGGGCUAGCGUUGUCCGGAUUUAUUGGGCGUAAAGAGCGUGUAGGCGGCCAGGUAGGUCUGGUGUGAAAACUCGAGGCUUAACCUCGAGAUGUCAUCGGAAACCAUCUGGCUAGAGUCCGGAAGAGGAGAGUGGAAUUCCUGGUGUAGCGGUGAAAUGCGCAGAUAUCAGGAAGAACACCAAUGGCGAAAGCAGCUCCCUGGGACGGUACUGACGCUGAGACGCGAAAGCGUGGGGAGCGAACAGG
rnacentral:rRNA from 1 species